rnacentral:rRNA from 1 species
GAGGAAUCUUGCGCAAUGGGGGAAACCCUGACGCAGCAACGCCGCGUGAGUGAGGAAGGUCUUCGGAUCGUAAAGCUCUGUCAGUUGGAAAGAAAUGUCUGAGAGUCAAUCCCUUUCAGGCUUGACGGUACCAACAGAGGAAGCACCGGCUAACUCCGUGCCAGCAGCCGCGGUAAUACGGGGGGUGCAAGCGUUGUUCGGAAUUAUUGGGCGUAAAGAGCGUGUAGGCGGCCGGAUAUGUCAGAUGUGAAAGCCCCGGGCUUAACCCGGGAAGUGCAUUUGAAACUGUCCGGCUCGAGUAGGGGAGAGGGAAGUGGAAUUCCUGGUGUAGAGGUGAAAUUCGUAGAUAUCAGGAGGAACACCGGUGGCGAAGGCGACUUCCUGGACCUACACUGACGCUGAGACGCGAGAGCGUGGGUAGCAAACAG